rnacentral:lncRNA from 1 species
UUGUGGUUUUAUAUUUUAUGUAUGCAUGAUUCAAAUUAAAAGUAUUUUAAUCUUAUAUUCUACUCAGUAUUUAAAAAAUAAAAUUUUGAAAUACACAUACAUAUCCCAAACCUCAAAUUUCGAUACUGCUGUCAAGAGCUGCUCCUGAAACAUAUGGGUAUAAGUAUCCUUCAGAUCUGAGAUCAUCAUAAUGACUUGCAAGCAACUCACUGUACUUUGGUGCUCCACUAUCUGAAUUUUUAAUGCAGUGAUGAAAAGCUACUGGAUACAGUC